rnacentral:rRNA from 1 species
UACGAAGGGGGCUAGCGUUGCUCGGAAUCACUGGGCGUAAAGGGUGCGUAGGCGGGUCUUUUAAGUCAGGGGUGAAAUCCUGGAGCUCAACUCCAGAACUGCCUUCGAUACUGGCGAUCUUGAGUUCGGGAGAGGUGAGUGGAACUGCGAGUGUAGAGGUGAAAUUCGUAGAUAUUCGCAAGAACACCAGUGGCGAAGGCGGCUCACUGGCCCGAUACUGACGCUGAGGCACGAAAGCGUGGGGAGCAAACAGG